UACAGAGGGUGCGAGCGUUGUUCGGAAUUAUUGGGCGUAAAGGGCGCGUAGGCGGUGCGGUAAGUCACCUGUGAAAUCUCCUGGCUCAACUGGGAGCUUGCAGGCGAAACUGCCGUGCUGGGAGUGUGGGAGAGGUGCGUGGAAUUCCCGGUGUAGCGGUGAAAUGCGUAGAGAUCGGGUGGAACACCAGGGGCGAAGGCGGCAUCC
rnacentral:rRNA from 1 species